AGGUGAAACCGCGAAUGGCUCAUUAAAUCACACCUUAUGUACCGGACAGUUCCACUUACUUGGAUAACUGCGGUAAUUCUGGAGCUAAUACAUGCCAAAAAGCCCUGACUCACGGAGGGGCGCAUUUAUUAGAUCAAGACCAAACGGCUCUGCUGUUUUUUUGGUGAUUCUGAAUAACUUUAUGCUGAUCGUAUGGCCCUGCGCCGACGACGUGUCCGUCCAAGGUGUGCCCUAUCAACUGUCGACUGUGGCAUAGACGCCCACAGUGGUUUUGACGGGUAACGGGGAAUUAGGGUUCGAUUCCGGAGAGGGAGCCUGAGAAACGGCUACCACUUCUAAGGAAGGCAGCAGGCGCGCAAAUUACCCAAUGGUCGAAGACCGAGGUAGUGACGAAAAAUAACGAUACCGGUCUCUUCCGAGGCCCGGUAAUCGGAAUGAGUACACUUUAAAUCCUUUAACGAGGAUCCA
rnacentral:rRNA from 1 species